GAUGCCCGACAGAGAUGUAGCCAAUAUGCGCCCAAUCCUUAUUUCUUGAUGUUGGAACAAGUAAGAGCAUAUUCAUGUUUACUUAUUAUGUUUUUUUGAGAAAUUUAUGGGAUUUACAAGCUGAAAUUAUUGACUGCUUCAAAAGAUGUUUUAACCAAAACUGUUUGCACCAUAUUUCCCUGGUUCUGCAUUCAUGGAAUUGCUAAAAAAAUGAACAAGUUGAUAGUUUUGUUCCUAUCAAUAUUCCGUCCAAGGUGCCAGUUUGUUUCUUCACUUUGCUGAUCUCCUAAUGUCUUUCUGAACUAAUUAGAUUUUUUGAGCAUUACUGAACUAAUUAGAUUUUUUUAGCACUACUGAACUAUUUAGAUGCCAUCUUAAAUUACCUUCCCUUUGACACUGUUGUACACAUUCCUGAAACACUGCAUAAUGGUUCAGCUGUGUACAUGUCUACAACAAUACUAGCAGGUCUAAAUUCGUGUUGCUAAGGUGCAGACUGGCCUCACUUCGAGGAAAAAGCAUGGAGUUAGAGUGCCAUUUUUUCCUGCCAAUUUCAUUUUCAGCAACCUUCAGAGAUGCCUCUUCAUUUGUUAGGAAAUACCUUUUGUGAAUCAUGAGAUUGGUCUUUCAACAUGGCAUAGAAGAUGUACUUUUCGAGUACUUUCAAUAUUAUUUUGCUACUUGCAAAAUUGUUCGAGUGGUAAAUUGUUUUUCAAAUUUCUAAGGAUAUAUUAUUUUUUUAGAUCAACAGGGAAAGGCUCCCCUGCUCCAUUUGCAUUAGAAGCCUGAACAAACAUCCCUGGCUUCCUCUGAAGAGUGACAUAUUGUUUUGAUGUGGCUGCUGAAGAGUAUACCAAGUUAUCAACAGGCUGCAUCAGCGGCUCGCAACGGAGUAAGCUGUGGCGACUGCUACUGGUGCAGCAAGGCACUAGCUAGCUAGGUGUAGCUGACACAAUAAGUUUUCUUUUCACUUCAAAAUUCAGAGGAAGUCAACGUUUCUUUUAUAGUUCAAACCAAUCACUGGUUCAAAAGAUCUAUUCCAAAAGGAUAUUGUCUCUUGAUACGAGGUUACCAAAAUAUAUUCUUCAUCAUGGCCAAAGAUAAAUUUAAUUCCGGGUUAAAAACUUUAGAAUAACUUUGUUUAUAGAUUUUCUAGCUAAGGGUUGCUUUUGU
rnacentral:lncRNA from 1 species